AAUUUGAGCAAGUGGAAGACAGACGUCUUCUGCCCGGUUGAACCGUGAGAAGUUCGACAGCAGAUCUAAUGAACACAUCUGUGAGACAG
rnacentral:ncRNA from 1 species